UGGGGAAUUUUGGACAAUGGGGGAAACCCUGAUCCAGCCAUCCCGCGUGUGCGAUGAAGGCCUUCGGGUUGUAAAGCACUUUUGGCAGGAAAGAAACGUCAUGGGUUAAUACCCCGUGAAACUGACGGUACCUGCAGAAUAAGCACCGGCUAACUACGUGCCAGCAGCCGCGGUAAUACGUAGGGUGCAAGCGUUAAUCGGAAUUACUGGGCGUAAAGCGUGCGCAGGCGGUUCGGAAAGAAAGAUGUGAAAUCCCAGAGCUCAACUUUGGAACUGCAUUUAUAACUACCGGGCUAGAGUGUGUCAGAGGGAGGUGGAAUUCCGCGUGUAGCAGUGAAAUGCGUAGAUAUGCGGAGGAACACCGAUGGCGAAGGCAGCCUCCUGGGAUAACACUGACGCUCAUGCACGAAAGCGUGGGGAGCAAACAGG
rnacentral:rRNA from 1 species